AGCCCCGUAGUGAUUACACGUCAKAUUGCAAACCUGAAAAAGUUCCUUUAGGUUCCGGGGCUU
rnacentral:tRNA from 1 species